rnacentral:rRNA from 1 species
AUGGCGUGCCCUUCACCACCAAGAGGCGCCUAUGAGGCAUUGGGAUCACAGCUUACCGACCCAUGUAUGGACUCCAUCUGGUCAUCACGGGUGCCAAGCCGUGUUGGUGUGUUUGGCUGGUUGUUCUACCUUGACCAGCUAAAUACUCGAGCUAAUCUACACCGCAAGACACUCGUUGAUUCUUCGACCUGUGCUCGAUUCUCUGCUGCAGUGCAAGACCGUGCUCAUUUUUUGGGGUGCACAUCCUCAUGUGUUGUAUGGGAUGCUCUUGGUUUUCAACCAACCUACUCGCUCAUCUCAUCCCUUUGGACCGCCCUGAACACUACUGGACUGUCAUAG